AUUGCACAGCAGUAACCAGGCCCCCCUUCCUUCACCCCCACAGUGUUAGUGGAGGCCUUCCUACCCUAACCAGGCAGGGAUACACCAGUGAAGCCUAGUGGGGACAUGAAUACCCAUCUCCACCUAGGAGUAACAAGAAGCCUCCACCCCUUGAGUGUCAGCAGGGUCCAAGUGGGAGAAACUGGACUUCUACCUCCACUGGGCAAUACUGAGGCAGCACCCCAUUCUUCCCCUGCUGGAGUGGUGUCAAAGAAAACCAGCUAAAACAGAAGUCUAAGUAAGACCCAGAGUCAUAUAGCAUAACAUCCAACAUGUCCAGGUUUCAACUGAGAAUCACUCAACAUCCCAAGAACCAGGAAGACCUCAAACUGAAUGAAUAAAAGACAAUUAUGAUUAAAGGCACAGCAGGGAAUUGAAACAUUCAUCUUGCCAAUAGGAUUAGGUAAUUAGGCAGCAACUGAUCAGCUACCAUAGCUGGACUACUGCUGGGCACCAGAAGUCAGAAACAGCUCUUAGAAGACAUGCCAACAUAGCUGCUCCCUCCCUCAUCAAACUUGUCAGUAAGGCUUCAUUAAUUUCCUCUCCAUUCCUGGAGUGGGAUGGUUGAAUCAGAGUGGGACUGUGUGUGUCUGGAAGUGACCUCAACUUAAUCAGACCUCAACUCAAUCAACUAGGAAACUUCUAGGGCCGGGCAACCUACUCCAGUCCCAGUUCUUGUAGUAAUUUGACCAUAGUGAAUCCACAACUGGGUUCAUUUAAUACUCCAAAAUUCAUGGUUUGACCACAGUUUUAUUUUGGUGGUGACUAAACUAACCCCACCUCCGGGAGAUGAACUGACAGUACCUCUGGGCAUCCUAAGCAUGCUCUGGAUAAAACAACAGUCACCAUCAAGGAGAUAACAUCAUGCAGGACAGCUGGGAGGUUGAUGCUGAUGUGCACAGCAGAUAUGAAGUAAGACAGAGAGGGCUCAAAGAGAACCACUCCUAAAGACUGAGUGUGAGUACAAGUCAAGGAGACUGGCAUCUCAUUCCAUCAGACUUGUUGAUUUGCCUUGUGCUUAUCUGAGAAGGAGACAGAUGGCAGAUGGAAACAGAAGUAUCGGAGGCGGCCUAUUUCUCACCGUUUGGCACGGCGAGGAUGCAUGCGCUUUCUGUGGGUCAAGUGAUAUUACAGAAAGCUGUCAGGUUUGCAUCUUUUGGCUGCUG
rnacentral:lncRNA from 1 species